AUUGAACGCUGGCGGCAGGCCUAACACAUGCAAGUCGAGCGGAUGAAGGGAGCUUGCUCCUGGAUUCAGCGGCGGACGGGUGAGUAAUGCCUAGGAAUCUGCCUGGUAGUGGGGGAUAACCUCCGGAAACGGUCGUUAAUCCCGCUUACGUCCUGUGGGAGAAAGUGGGGGCUCUUCGUCCCUCACCUUAUCAGAUGAGCCUAGGUCGGAUUAGCUAGUUGGUGGGGUAAAGGCCUACCAAGGCGACGAUCCGUAACUGGUCUGAGAGGAUGAUCAGUCACACUGGAACUGAGACACGGUCCAGACUCCUACGGGAGGCAGCAGUGGGGAAUAUUGGACAAUGGGCGAAAGCCUGAUCCAGCCAUGCCGCGUGUGGGAAGAAGGUCUUCGGAUUGUAAAGCACUUUAAGUUGGGAGGAAGGGCAGUAAGUUAAUACCUUGCUGUUUUGACGUUACCAACAGAAUAAGCACCGGCUAACUUCGUG
rnacentral:rRNA from 1 species